GGAGCGGGGGCGGGGAGGCGCCGUCUGGCUCGGGCUGGGGCCGGCGGGAGCGCGAACCAGCGACGGCGGAAUCCGUGGGCCUGUGGACUGCAGCCUCGGCGGCCAGCAGGCCAUGCUGGAGUAUCUGCCAACAUGAUGAAGAAGAGGACAUCCCACAAAAAACAUCGGAGCAGUGUGGGUCCGAGCAAACCUGUUUCCCAGCCCCGGCGGAACAUCGUAGGCUGCAGGAUUCAGCAUGGGUGGAAAGAGGGGAAUGGCCCUGUUACCCAGUGGAAAGGAACCGUUCUGGACCAGGUGCCUGUAAAUCCUUCUUUGUAUCUUAUAAAAUACGAUGGAUUUGACUGUGUUUAUGGACUAGAACUUAAUAAAGAUGAAAGAGUUUCUGCGCUUGAAGUCCUCCCUGAUAGAGUUGCAACAUCUCGAAUCAGCGAUGCACACUUGGCAGACACAAUGAUUGGCAAAGCAGUGGAACAUAUGUUUGAGACAGAGGAUGGUUCUAAAGAUGAGUGGAGGGGAAUGGUCUUAGCACGUGCACCUGUCAUGAACACAUGGUUUUACAUUACCUAUGAGAAAGACCCUGUCUUGUACAUGUACCAACUCUUAGACGAUUACAAAGAAGGCGACCUUCGCAUUAUGCCUGAUUCCAAUGAUUCACCUCCAGCAGAAAGGGAACCAGGAGAAGUUGUGGACAGCCUGGUAGGCAAACAAGUGGAAUAUGCCAAAGAAGAUGGCUCGAAAAGGACUGGCAUGGUCAUUCAUCAAGUAGAAGCCAAGCCCUCCGUCUAUUUCAUCAAGUUUGAUGAUGAUUUCCAUA
rnacentral:sRNA from 1 species